AUGGACCGGAACAUGACGGGGCUCUUGCUCGGGUGCGUGGGCGCCGCCAUGACGGUGCUGGCGUACCAGCAGACGGCGGUGUCCAGCACGCAGUGCAUCGGCGCCGGCCUCGCCGUCCUCGUCUGCGCUCUCUGCAUCAAGGAAGGCUUCUUCUCCUUCUGA
rnacentral:rRNA from 1 species